rnacentral:rRNA from 1 species
CCAGUGACGCUGGCGGCGUGCCUAACACAUGCAAGUCGAACGAGAACGGGUUAAAGUUUACUUUAACUGUCAGCUAAGUGGCGCACGGGUGAGUAAUAUAUAGUUAAUCUGCCCCAAAGAAGAGAAUAAUUGUUGGAAACGACUUGUAACUCUCUAUAUGCCUUUAUYACAUAAGURAGCAAGGGAAACAUUUAUGGCUUUGGGAUGAGACUGUACGGUAUCAGUUAGUUGGUAAGGUAAUGGCUUACCAAGACUAUGACGCCUAACUGGUUUGAGAGGAUGAUCAGUCACACUGGAACUGAGACACGGUCCAGACUCCUACGGGAGGCAGCAGUGGGGAAUAUUGCACAAUGGAGGAAACUCUGAUGCAGCAACGCCGCGUGGAGGAUGACACAUUUCGGUGCGUAAACUCCUUUUAUAUGAGAAGAUAAUGACGGUAUCAUAUGAAUAAGCACCGGCUAACUCCGUGCCAGCAGCCGCGGUAAUACGGGGGGUGCAAGCGUUACUCGGAAUCACUGGGCGUAAAGAGCAUGUAGGCGGAUAGAUAAGUUGGAAGUGAAAUCCUAUGGCUUAACCAUAGAACUGCUUCCAAAACUGUCUAUCUAGAAUAUGGGAGAGGUAGAUGGAAUUUCUGGUGUAGGGGUAAAAUCCGUAGAGAUCAGAAGGAAUACCGAUUGCGAAGGCGAUCUACUGGAACAUUAUUGACGCUCAGAUGCGAAAGCGUGGGGAGCAAACAGGAUUAGAUACCCUGGUAGUCCACGCCCUAAACGAUGCACACUAGUUGUUGCCUUGCUAGACAAGGCAGUAAUGCAGUUAACACAGUAAGUGUGCCGCCUGGGGAGUAC